UAGAGGAAAAACGCAGCAUAAAGUGCGGUCUCAAAGCGCCAAACUCUUGUAUACAGAAAGCUGCAUUGGUGUUAGGGUUUUCGAUUCGCCAUGGGAGUGUUCACCUUCGUGUUGAGGACCUCCGGGGGAGAGUGGUCCGCCAAACAGCAGAAUGGAGACCUUGAGGCCUCCGCUCCCUCCACAUUCGAGCUCCAGAGGAAGCUCGUCCAGUCCGCUCUAUCUUCCGAGUCCUCCGGCGGUGUCCAGACCUCGUACUCACCUGUCACUCCCACCUCUGCCGUUUUCCAGGUGAUCAUUGGUGGUGGUGGUGGUGGUGGCGGUGGUGCCUUCAUUGGAGGUGGAGCUGCUGCUGCUGCUCCUGGAGGUGGUGCAGCGGCUGCUGCAGAGGCUCCCCCGGCUGAGGAGAAGAAGGAAGAGAAGGAGGAGAGCGACGAUGACAUGGGAUUCUCUCUUUUUGAUUAAUCUAGUCAUAACUCACUUGUUACCGAGUCAUAUAUUAUCUCGUAAUCUUUACCAGUUUCUCUUUUCUUUUCUUUUUUAAAUGGUUUGUGGUUAUGUUGGAAGUCGUAUCCUCUGUUUGGCUUUGUUUCUGCAUUUUUCGAUUUAUUUUUACCUUCCUCGGAGGACGUUCUGUCGUUCUUAAAGACAGGUUUUCUUCGAAUCAAUCCACUAAACUUUUUCCCCGU